rnacentral:rRNA from 1 species
CCUACGGGAGGCAGCAGUGAGGAAUAUUGGUCAAUGGUCGGGAGACUGAACCAGCCAAGCCGCGUGAGGGAUGAAGGUACAGAGUAUCGUAAACCUCUUUUGUCAGGGAACAAAGGCGGGGACGUGUCCCCGGAUGAGUGUACCUGACGAAAAAGCAUCGGCUAACUCCGUCCCAGCAGCCGCGUUAAUACGGAGGAUGCGAGCGUUAUCCGGAUUUCUUGGGUUUAAGGGGUGCGCAGGCGGUCUGUUAAGUCAGUGGUCAAAUCCCGGGGCUCAACCCCGGCCGGCCGUUGAAACUGGCAGUCUCGAGUUGGAGAGAAGUAUGCGGAAUGCGCGGGGUAGCGGUGAAAUGCAUAGAUAUCGCGCAGAACUCCGAUUGCGAAGGCAGCAUGCCGGCUCCACACUGACGCUGAGGCACGAAAGCGUGGGUAUCGAACAGGAUUAGAUACCCCAGUAGUC